UCUAAUUUCACUUUCACUUUGGUGCAUUCCUCCUCUUAUUCCCAAUUCCAGAAUCAAAAUCCCUAACUCACCACCACCUCUACCCAUCCAUCAGUGUUGUCUGUCAGCGUUGCUCACCAGUCACCAGUCACCACAUUCAUCUCCACCUCCCACCUGCUUCCUCUGUCGCCGGCGCCCACCUGAUUUCCUCAACUAACUCAGGACUUCAGUUUUUAUGGCUAGUUCGAACACUCCUAUAUCUGUAGAUGAUGGGUUUAAUGAGUAUGAAAGACCUCUCAAACGUCAAAAGUCUACCACUUCAAAAGUGUGGGAUGAAAUGACAAAGCUUGAAUGCAAAGAACAAAAAUGAAUUGAAGGCACAAUGUAAUCACUGUAAGAGUAUCUUUUCUGCUAAAUCUUCUAGUGGAACCUCUCAUUUAAGACGUCAUCUAAAUCAUUGUUUGAAAAUAAGUUAAUAAUGACAUCACUCAAUACACCAUAGCCGCUCAAUCAUCAUUAGGAGGUGGUCCAUCUAUAAAAAAACUACAAGUUUGAUGCUGAUGAGUGCCGUCGAGCUGUUUUUACUUUUCUUGUGUGUGGCAAGCAUUCAUUUAGGAUAGUUGAAGAAUCGAAAUUUAGAUACAUGAUGAAAAUCGCUAGUUCUAAUUUUAAGAAUAUAAGUAGACAUACAGUUGCUAGGGAUGUCCUAAUGUAUUAUGCAAAAUAUAGAGAUCAUGUUAAAGAAGAGUUGGCUAAAGCACCUGGUUUAAUUUGUCUAAUUUCUAAUAAUUGGAACUCGAAGCAUACUAAUGAUGAAUAUAUUUGCAUUACUACUCAUUGGAUUUACAAAGACUGGAAGCUACAAAGAGAAUCAUAAGGUUUAGAGCUUUAUUUCCUCCGUAUGAUGGUUUGCACAUAGUGGAUGAACUUGUUUUAUGUUUAUCUCAAUAGGGUAUAGACAAGAAAAUUUUUAGCAUCACUUUGGAUAAUGCUUCUUAUAAUGAUGUUAUGGUUUUUUGUCUUAAAAAUCAUUUUCGUGCAAACCAAGCUAUUUUGUGUGAUGGUGAUUUUUUUUCACGUUAGAUAUUGAAUAUUAUAAUUAAAGCUGGUUUGGAACUUGCUGAUGAUGUUGUUGGUAAUAUUCAAAAUUGAAUUAAGUACAUAAAAAAGUCGAGAAUUCGUAGGAAAAGAUUUUAUUAUGUGGCCGACAAAAGUUUUCAUUUGAAUGUGACCAAAAAUUUGCAUCAAGAUGUGUGUGUGUGAUGGAAUUCUACUUAUUUGAUGCUUGAAUCUUCUCUUUAUUAUAAAUAUGUGCUAGAUUAUUGGGGCCAACGGGAUAAAGAUUAUCAAAUGUUUGCACUUUCUAAUGAGGAGUGGAGAAAUGUUGCUAUUCUUUGCAAAUUUUUGAAAGUCUUUUAUGAUGUGACUUGUGUUUUCUCUGGUUCUAAUUAUCCAACGGCUAAUCUUUAUUUUAGAGGGGUUUGGAAGGUUUACAAGGUAUUGCUUGAUACCGUUAAAGGUCCUUAUUCUUUUUUAACUCCAAUGUUUAAGCAAAUGCAAGAGAAAUUUAAUAAAUAUUGGGCUGAGUAUUUGUUGAUAUUGUCAUGUGCUGUAAUUUUAGAUCCUCGUUACAAGUUGAAUUAUGUGCAGUAUUACUAUACUACAAUCUAUGGUAUUCAUUCUUCGGAUUUUGUUGAAAUCAUUCUUAACAAUCUUAGACUCUUGUUUGAUGAGUAUGUUAAGAAAUCCAAUUCACGUCUUCCUCUUUGGCUGGGAGUUCUAAUGUUUCGGAUAAAGAUCCUAUUGAUUCUAGUUUGCAUCAACACAAUGUUAAUAGUGUUGAUUUUGGGGAGGUUUUGAUGAAAGUGAUGAUUAUAAAUGGUAUUGAAAUGAAUCUAGUACUAAUAGUGAAAAGUCACAGUUGGACAUUUAUUUGGAAGAACCGGAGCUUGAGUUGAAUAGUCAAAUAGAUGUUUUGGAUUAUUGGAGCAAAAGUUCAGUUCAAUAUAAUGAGCUUUCAUUAUUGACUUGUGAUCUUUUGGCAAUUCUAAUAUCGACUGUAGCUUCAAAAUCGGCUUUUAACAUGGGUAAGAAAGUUAUCACACCUUUGAGGAGUUCACUUAAGCUAAAAACGGUUCAAGCCGUUGUUUGCUUUGAUGAUUGGAUACGAGCUAAGGGAUUUUCAACGGAAAUUGGUUGCAAGAAUGAUGAUGACGAUGAAGAUGGUGAGGAUGAUGUUUCUUAGGUUUUUGGUGCUGUUUUGUUGUUGUUGGUGAUGCUGUUUUUUGUGCUGUUUGGUGCUGUUUUGAUGCUGUUUUGGUGUUGUUUUGUGCUACUUUUUGUGGUGUUUUAUUGUUCUUUUGCAGCUAUUUAUUAUGUUGUAUGUUGUCGUUUUUAAUAUUAUUUCGAUAUUGUAGAACUUUUGUUUUAUUAUUAAAUUAUUUUAGUUCUAACUUGUUUCAAUUUUAAUAUAAUCACUUUUUAUUAUAUUUUCAA